rnacentral:rRNA from 1 species
UGGGCAACCUGCCCCUCUCUCUGGGAUAACCCCCGGGGAAACCGGAGCUAAUACCGGAUACUCCGGCUGGAUCGCAUGGUCCGGCCGGGAAAGGUCCGCCGGAGAGGGAUGGGCCCGCGGCCUAUCAGCUUGUUGGUGGGGUCAUGGCUCACCAAGGCGACGACGGGUAGCUGGUCUGAGAGGAUGGCCAGCCACAUUGGGACUGAGACACGGCCCAGACCUCCGUACGGGAGGCA